rnacentral:tRNA from 1 species
GGAGAGAUGCCAGAGUUGGUCUAAUGGAGUCGCCUGCUAAGCGAUUGGUUUGCCACAAGCGGACCCCUGGGUUCGAAUCCCAGUCUCUCCGCCA